GUCAGAUGAACUACUGACAGAGACAUAUACUAAAAUUGGAACGAUACAGAGAUUAGCAUGGCCCCUGCACAAGGAUGACACGCAAAUUCGUGAAGCGUUCCAUAUUAAA